GAUAAACGCAGGCGGCGCACAUAAGACAUGCAAGUCGAACGAACUUAAUUGAGAGCUUGCUCUCAAAGCGGUUAGUGGCGGACUGGUGAGUAACACGUAAGCAACCUGCCUAUAGAGGGGAAUAACAGCGAGAAAUCGUUGCUAAUACCGCAUAUGCUGUGAGUAUCGCAUGAUACAAGCAGGAAAGGAGUAAUCCGCUAAUAGAUGGGCUUGCGUCUGAUUAGUUAGUUGGUGGGGUAACGGCCUACCAAGACGAUGAUCAGUAGCCGGACUGAGAGGUUGAACGGCCACAUUGGGACUGAGAUACGGCCCAGACUCCUACGGGAGGCAGCAGUCGGGAAUAUUGCGCAAUGGAGGAAACUCUGACGCAGUGACGCCGCGUGCAGGAAGAAGGUUUUCGGAUUGUAAACUGCUUUUAACAGGAAAGAAAAAAAUGACGGUACCUGUUGAAUAAGCUCCGGCUAACUACGUGCCAGCAGCCGCGGUAAUACGUAGGGAGCGAGCGUUAUCCGGAUUUAUUGGGUGUAAAGGGUGCGUAGACGGAAAUGCAAGUUAGUUGUGAAAUACCUCGGCUUAACUGAGGAACUGCAACUAAAACUAUAUUUCUUGAGUAUCGGAGGGGUUUGUGGAAUUCCUAGUGUAGCGGUGAAAUGCGUAGAUAUUAGGAAGAACACCGGUGGCGAAGGCGACAAACUGGACGAUAACUGACGUUGAGGCACGAAAGUGUGGGGAGCAAACAGG
rnacentral:rRNA from 2 species